AUUAAUUUAAAAAAUAUCGAAUGACAUAUGUCAUUUUGUUGUGUGAUGAUGUGUCAUUUAUAUGGAGAGAGUUAACCAACUUUCAUAUAUAUGAUUCGAAGUGAUCUUUCCACCAAUUCUACUAAGCUACCGAUGCUGUUCUAUUAACCGACUAUGAGGACCAUCUACAGGUUUCGAAUUCUCUGAAAGAUCAGACACAUUAUUCUUCCCUUUCAAUGGACUUCUUUUCCUCUCUGGCGUAGGUUUCCUUGAUACAGAGGUCGUUUCAGCCUUAUGCUUUUGAGCUAUAUUCGAAGAAGGUCUCAAUGUUCGAUCACCAGAAGAACUACUAACCAGUCUCUCCUUCUUACUAACAGGGACUGAGACUGAAUCAGACUGAAACGAAACACUGAGGAUUCUCAUAGUGGAAGGCCAUAAGCUUUCAGGCAAACGACUAGUAGAUAGCCUCCUAGAUGAAGCUGGUAAGUCUAUAGACAAGUCGCGUAUCGGCGUGGAGGGACUAGUCGGAGAUGGUGGUGUUGAAGGAUGCUUCCUCUCUGCUGAAACUGCUCUUUUUGCAGCCACAGAUUGAGAGCUUGAAGACACUGUUGGCCUUGUGACGCUUGGGGAAGGGCAUCGCCCGUUUUAGGUUGGCGUGGGUGAUCUGUAUCUUGAACUGACCUCCACUGUUCGAGGACGGCGGGUGGCAACAACUGCAUUGUUCCUCUCGGAUAGAAGAAGAAGACGCCGCCUUGUAGUUUCUGUUGCUACAUCCAUUCAAGCUAACGAAACAAACUUGCAUUGAUUGAAUUCAGCAGUUUUUCAUGCCUCUGGUUUAAUUCAGCGUUGGAGCUAAACAAUAAAAACAGCUCCAGUUGCUGUAAAUGAAGUCCCUUUAUUCUGCAAUAUGACUGUCUUCUUCAUCAUCCACAUCAUCAUAAUCAGUACUUU
rnacentral:sRNA from 1 species